rnacentral:rRNA from 1 species
CCUACGGGUGGCAGCAGUGAGGAAUAUUGGUCAAUGGGAGAGAUCCUGAACCAGCCAAGCCGCGUGAGGGAAGACGGCCCUAUGGGUUGUAAACCUCUUUUGUCGGAGAACAAAACCCGGGACGAGUCCCGGACUGCGUGUAUCCGAAGAAAAAGCAUCGGCUAACUCCGUGCAAGCAGCCGCGGUAAUACGGGGGAUGCGAGCGUUAUCCGGAUUUAUGGGGUUGAAAGGGUGCGUAGGGGGUCUGUUAAGUCAGCGGGAAACUUGCGGGGCUCAACCGCGUCGAGCCGUUGAAACUGGCAGGCUUGAGUUGGCGAGAGGUACGCGGAAUGCGCGGUGUAGCGGUGAAAUGCAUAGAUAUCGCGCAGAACUCCGAUUGCGAAGGCAGCUUACCGGCGCCAGACUGACGCUGAGGCACGAAAGCGUGGGGAUCGAACAGGAUUAGAUACCCCUGUAGUC